UACGUAGGGGCCUAGCGUUGUCCGGAUUUAUUGGGCGUAAAGAGCUCGUAGGCGGUCUGUCGCGUCUGCUGUGAAAACUCGGGGCUUAACCCCGGGCCUGCAGUGGGUACGGGCAGACUAGAGUGCGGUAGGGGAGACUGGAAUUCCUGGUGUAGCGGUGAAAUGCGCAGAUAUCAGGAGGAACACCAAUUGCGAAGGCAGCUCGCUGGGACGUUACUGACGCUGAGACGCGAAAGCGUGGGGAGCAAACAGG
rnacentral:rRNA from 1 species